rnacentral:rRNA from 1 species
UUAAAUUGAAGAGUUUGAUCAUGGCUCAGAUUGAACGCUGGCGGCAGGCCUAACACAUGCAAGUCGAGCGGCAGCGGGAGA